UUCGUGGAGGGUUUGAUCCUGGCUCAGGGUGAACGCUGGCGGCGUGCCUAACACAUGCAAGUCGAGCGGGUACCCGCAAGGGUACCAGCGGCGCACGGGUGAGUAACACGUGGGUAAUCUACCCCUCGGAGGGGGAUAACCGGGGGAAACUCCGGCUAAUACCCCAUACGAUCCAACAACACAAGUUGUUGGAUGAAAGGAGCGUUUGCUCCGCCGAGGGAUGAGCCCGCGGCCCAUCAGGUAGUUGGUGGGGUAAUGGCCCACCAAGCCUACGACGGGUAGCCGGCCUGAGAGGGUGGUCGGCCACAAGGGCACUGAGACACGGGCCCUACUCCUACGGGAGGCAGCAGUGGGGAAUCUUGGACAAUGGGCGAAAGCCUGAUCCAGCGACGCCGCGUGGGGGAUGAAGCCCUUCGGGGUGUAAACCCCUGUUGCGAGGGAGGAAUAAGGCCUGGAGGAAAUGCCAGGCCGAUGACUGUACCUCGCGAGGAAGCCCCGGCUAACUACGUGCCAGCAGCCGCGGUAAUACGUAGGGGGCGAGCGUUACCCGGAUUCACUGGGCGUAAAGCGGGUGUAGGCGGCUCGGUAAGUCGGGUGUGAAAUCCCACAGCUCAACUGUGGAAUUGCGCCCGAAACUGCUGAGCUUGGGGCCGGUAGAGGGAGACGGAACUGCCGGUGUAGGGGUGAAAUCCGUAGAUAUCGGCAGGAACGCCGGUGGGGAAGCCGGUCUCCUGGGCCGCGCCCGACGCUGAGACCCGAAAGCUAGGGGAGCAAACCGGAUUAGAUACCCGGGUAGUCCUAGCCGUAAACGAUGCCCACUAGGUGUGGGGGAUUAAUUCCUCCGUGCUGUAGCUAACGCGUUAAGUGGGCCGCCUGGGGAGUACGCCCGCAAGGGUGAAACUCAAAGGAAUUGGCGGGACCCCGCACAAGCGGUGGAGCGCGUGGUUUAAUUGGAUGCUGAGCCAAGAACCUUACCAGGGCUUGACAUGC
rnacentral:rRNA from 1 species